rnacentral:rRNA from 1 species
GCAUGUCUAAGUACAAGCCUCACUAAGGUGAAACCGCGAAUAGCUCAUUAAAUCACAUCUAAUAUACAGGAUAGUAUCAGUUACUUGGACAACUGCGGUAAUUCUGGAGCUAAUACAUGCGUACAAGUCCAAACUACGUGAGGACUGCUUUUAUUAGAUCAAAACCAAACAGCUUCGGCUGUCAACUUGGUGAUUCUGAAUAACUUUGAGCUGAUCGCACGGCUUCACGCCGGCGACGUAUCCUUCGACGGUGUGCCCUAUCAACUGUCGACUGUGGCAUAGACGCCCACAGUGGUUUUGACGGGUAACGGGGAAUUAGGGUUCGAUUCCGGAGAGGGAGCCUGAGAAACGGCUACCACUUCUAAGGAAGGCAGCAGGCACGCAAAUUACCCACUGGUCGAAGACCGAGGUAGUGACGAUAAAUAACGAUACGGGACUCAUCCGAGGCCCCGUAAUCGGAAUGAGUACACUUUAAAGCCUUUAACGAGGAACAAUUGGAGGGCAAGUCUGGUGCCAGCAGCCGCGGUAAUUCCAGCUCCAAUAGCGUAUAUUAAAGUUGUUGCGGUUAAAAAGCUCGUAGUUGGAUCUCGGCAGGUUGGGGGCGGUUCAUUGUUUAAUGCUACUGUCCCAUUAACCUGUGUUUUUGACGGAGGUUACAGGGUGCUCUUAAUUGAGUGUCCUGUGGUGCCGUCAGGUUUACUUUGAAAAAAUUAGAGUGCUCAAAGCAGGCUUUACACGCUUGAAUAUUCGUGCAUGGAAUAAUGGAAUAGGAAGUCGUUUCUAUUUUGUUGGUUUUAAGAAUCGACUUAAUGAUUAAUAGGGACAGUCGGGGGCAUUAGUAUUCAGAUGACAGAGGUGAAAUUCUUGGACCAUCUGAAGACUAACUACUGCGAAAGCAUUUGCCAAGAAUGUUUUCAUUAAUCAAGAACGAAAGUUAGAGGUUCGAAGGCGAUCAGAUACCGCCCUAGUUCUAACCAUAAACGAUGCCAGCUAGCGAUCCGCAGACGUUUUUUAUGUAGGCUCUGCGGGAAGCUUCCGGGAAACCAAAGCUUGUGGGUUCCGGGGGAAGUAUGGUUGCAAAGCUGAAACUUAAAGGAAUUGACGGAAGGGCACCACCAGGAGUGGAGCCUGCGGCUUAAUUUGACUCAACACGGGAAAUCUCACCAGGCCCGGACACUGGAAGGAUUGACAGAUUGAGAGCUCUUUCUCGAUUCGGUGGGUGGUGGUGCAUGGCCGUUCUUAGUUGGUGGAGUGAUUUGUCUGGUUAAUUCCGAUAACGAACGAGACUCUGUCCUGCUAAAUAGUUUCAACGUCACUUGCGUUGGAAAUUCUUCUUAGAGGGACUGGUGGCGUCUAGCCACACGAGAUUGAGCAAUAACAGGUCUGUGAUGCCCUUAGAUGUUCUGGGCCGCACGUGCGCUACACUGAAGGGAUCAACGUGUUUUCCCUUCCCGAGAGGGACGGGUAACCCGCUGAACCCCCUUCGUGGUAGGGAUUGGGGCUUGCAAUUAUUCCCCAUGAACCAGGAAUUCCCAGUAAGCGCAAGUCAUAAGCUUGCGUUGAUUACGUCCCUGCCCUUUGUACACACCGCCCGUCGCUACUACCGAUUGAACGUUUUAGUGAGGUAUUUGGAUUGUGUUGUCCGAGAAGACUCCCAAACUUGAGCGUUUAGAGGAAGUAA